UACCUGAUUCAGUUAGACAAGAGAACACGAAGAGACGAGAUGCAGGCAUUAAGCAGAUAGGUUUCAAUAAACCAGGUAGAGUCACCGAUCUCCAAAUACUUUCAAACUAUCCUAAAGUAAGCAAAUAUAUUUUUAUUUUGAAGCAGAGCUAGAAAGUUUGGGCAAACAAUUCAAGCGUGCUGCUCAUCGCAGCAUGUCUUCACCAUACCGCACGUAAAAAGUUGUCUAUUUAAACCUUCAGGUUGCUUUUAUUCUGUAUUUUUUGUGUCAAAUAAUCAACUUAUUAAGUAAGCAGAUCUUAUAGAUACUGGAGGGAGUCACAGAUGUCCAAAUACUUACCAACGGUCCUAAGGUAAGCUGAUGAGUUUUUCUAUUGAUCAAGGCCCAGAUGUUUGGAUAGAUACUUAGAGUGUACUGCUAGAUUUUACUAACACUUGAUGACGUCUACUAAUAGUAGAUUGUUGUCACCAUACCCCAUGUAAAAAAAUGUCUAUUUCAGGAAAUCGGUUGUUUCUUUCCCUGUAUUUCUCUUGUUGUCAUCUCAUUAGAUCAUUAAGUAAAGAGAUUUAAAUGAAAGUGGAUGGAAUCACAGGUUUUAAUCUACCAUCAAACGUUCUUAAGAUCAGCUCAUUAACAAAACAAAUUUGAAUGAAAGUGGAUGGAAUCACAGAUCAGCUCAUUAACAAAACAAAUUUGAAUGAAAGUGGAUGGAAUCACAGGUUUUAAACUACUAUCAAAUGUUGUUAAGGUCAUUAAGGAAACAGAUUUGAAUGAAACUGGAUGGAGUCACAGGUUUUAAUCUACCAUCAAACGUUCCUAAGAUAAUCUGAUGAUUUUUUUAUUAUUUAUUGGACUUAUAUGUUUUUUCAGCAGACACCUCAUGUAAAAAAUUCUCUAUCUAAGGAGAAAAAAGUCCUUUUUUCUGAUCUUUUUUUCUUGUUUUCAACAGAUCAGGUCAUUAAGGAAACAGAUUUGAAUGAAACUGGAUGGAGUCACAGGUUUUAAACUACCAUCAAACGUUCCUAAGAUAAUCUGAUGAUUUUGUUAUGAUUUAUUGGACUUAUAUGUUUUUUCAGCAGACACCUCAUG